UACGUAGGGUGCCAAGCGUUAUCCGGAAUUAUUGGGCGUAAAGAGCUCGUAGGCGGUUUGUCGCGUCUGCCGUGAAAGUCCGGGGCUCAACUCCGGAUCUGCGGUGGGUACGGGCAGACUAGAGUGAUGUAGGGGAGACUGGAAUUCCUGGUGUAGCGGUGAAAUGCGCAGAUAUCAGGAGGAACACCGAUGGCGAAGGCAGGUCUCUGGGCAUUAACUGACGCUGAGGAGCGAAAGCAUGGGGAGCGAACAGG
rnacentral:rRNA from 1 species